rnacentral:rRNA from 1 species
GUGCCAGCAGCCGCGGUAAUACGAGGGGGGCAAGCGUUGUUCGGAAUUAUUGGGCGUAAAGGGCGCGUAGGCGGUUUGACAAGUCUGAUGUGAAAUCUAUGGGCUCAACCCAUAGCCUGCAUUAGAAACUGUCGGGCUUGAGUAUGGGAGAGGUGAGUGGAAUUUCCGGUGUAGCGGUGAAAUGCGUAGAUAUCGGAAGGAACACCUGUGGCGAAAGCGGCUCACUGGACCAUAACUGACGCUGAGGCGCGAAAGCUAGGGGAGCAAACAGGAUUAGAUACCCUGGUAGUCC